rnacentral:rRNA from 1 species
CAGCCGCCGCGGUAAAACCAGCACCUCAAGUGGUCAGGAUGAUUAUUGGGCCUAAAGCAUCCGUAGCCCGUUUUGUAAGUUUUCGGUUAAAUCCAUGCGCUUAACGUAUGGGCUGCCGGGAAUACUGCAUAACUAGGAAGUGGGAGAGGUAGACGGUACUCGGUAGGAAGGGGUAAAAUCCUUUGAUCUAUUGAUGACCACCUGUGGCGAAGGCGGUCUACCAGAACACGUUCGACGGUGAGGGAUGAAAGCUGGGGGAGCAAACCGGAUUAGAUACCCGGGUAGUCCCAGCUGUAAACUAUGCAAACUCAGUGAUGCAUUGGCUUAUGGCCAAUGCAGUGCUGCAGGGAAGCCGUUAAGUUUGCCGCCUGGGAAGUACGUACGCAAGUAUGAAACUUAAAGGAAUUGGCGGGGGGAGCAACA